UGGGAUGGUGAUUUCUUCACUGGCUCCUCAGUAGUAGAGGAUCAAGAAAUUAUCAAGACAUGCUGUACUUUCAGGAAGCAAUGCAGUAGACGUGGGACAGGCGAAAAGAAGAUUGGAAUCUACUGGUGGAUCUGUGAAAGAUUUGCAAUAGAUUCCAAAGUUUGGCAGUUGUUAGCAAUGAGGGCAAAUGAAGUAGACAGGACAAAUUGUUCUAAUUCUCAAUGAAAGAACACUUCACCCUCUUUCAACAUGAAAGAAAAGAACACCAAAAAGGAAGCCUUUUGAUGCUGCUAAAAAUGCUCACAAAAAGUGCCCCUCUUUAAGCUUAUCACUAAGUUACUUAUUCCCCUCAGAAACUAGGAUACUACAUUCUGUACUUUCAGCCUCAAAGAGUCUUCAAGGGAUUAGAUAGCAGUUUCAGAAGACCAGGAGGGCACAACGUCAGACUCGUGAGAAGCUGUCAAAUGAAUGCCAUAUGCCCAGUGAAUGCCAAAUAAAUACUCAGAUCUUUUCAAAGUA